rnacentral:rRNA from 1 species
UACGGGGGGGGCAAGCGUUGUUCGGAAUUACUGGGCGUAAAGGGCGCGUAGGCGGCCUUCUAAGUCGAACGUGAAAUCCCCGGGCUCAACCCGGGAACUGCGUCCGAUACUGGGAGGCUUGAAUCCGGGAGAGGGAUGUGGAAUUCCAGGUGUAGCGGUGAAAUGCGUAGAUAUCUGGAGGAACACCGGUGGCGAAGGCGGCAUCCUGGACCGGUAUUGACGCUGAGGCGCGAAAGCUAGGGGAGCAAACGGG